AAACCACUUGAACCCGGGAGGUGGAGGUUGCAGUGAGCCGAGAUCAUGCCACUGUACUCUAGCCUGGGCAACAGAA
rnacentral:snRNA from 1 species